ACGAAUGCUGGCGGCGUGCUUAACCCAUGCAAGUCGAACGGAAAGGCCCUGCUUUUGUGGGGUGCUCGAGUGGCGAACGGGUGAGUAACACGUGAGUAACCUGCCCUUGACUUUGGGAUAACUUCAGGAAACUGGGGCUAAUACCGGAUAGGAGCUCCUGCUGCAUGGUGGGGGUUGGAAAGUUUCGGCGGUUGGGGAUGGACUCGCGGCUUAUCAGCUUGUUGGUGGGGUAGUGGCUUACCAAGGCUUUGACGGGUAGCCGGCCUGAGAGGGUGACCGGCCACAUUGGGACUGAGAUACGGCCCAGACUCCUACGGGAGGCAGCAGUGGGGAAUAUUGCACAAUGGGCGGAAGCCUGAUGCAGCAACGCCGCGUGCGGGAUGACGGCCUUCGGGUUGUAAACCGCUUUCGCCUGUGACGAAGCGUGAGUGACGGUAAUGGGUAAAGAAGCACCGGCUAACUACGUG
rnacentral:rRNA from 1 species